UAAACCUGACAAUACUCUUUAAAGAGUAAAAAUCACCCGUUUUUUGAUGGUAUAUGAAAAUGUCAAAAUAAUGGGUAAAUAAUUUUUCUGCAUAAUGAGUAUUUUAUGCCCAAUUUCAUGUUCCUUGUUUAUACCCUUUAAUGGGUGAAAAACGAAUUAUAGUUUUUGAACAAAACGAAUGGUGCAUUGUCGCUUUUUUGUGGUUUUGUAAUUAAAUAAAUAUCAAACUAAAAGAAUAAAAUAUUCUCGCGUUAACCAGUCGUGGAUGGUUCGGAAAAAGCAGCCAGAAAGAAUCAGGAGCUGUUCCAUCGCGUGGGUGAUUUACUGAUGGCCAGGAUUCCGAGGGAACUUUCAUAGAGAUUAAUACCGAAGGAAUCGGUGGAAUUGCUAUUUCCGGUGCACCGUCUACGUCUGCAGGAUGUCAGCUACUUAUCCAAAUUCCUCACGGCAAGUAGAACCGUUGUUCCGGCGAGUGGGAAAACAUACAGUCAGAUACGGAUAGCACAAAUUUGGAAACCGGCGAUACGGAGACUCGUACCAAAGGCAGCCACCGUAGACAUUUUAUUUUGUCCCCUGGCUGUUGCCGAAACAUCCCAUACAGAAAAUGCGCUUUUCGCCAACAAAAAAAAAUCGUUCGUUCAGUGGAUACGCGAAUAAAAAACAUGUUGAAUUUAUUUUUUUAAAUCGCUUGUACUGUUUAAAUAAAGAUUGAUUUCAAGA